UGAGUGCGAGCUGCUACGGCAGCGAAGUUGGUGAUGUCAUGCUUCCAAGAAAAGCCCUAUACCCGUUAAGGCAUCAUGGCCUGUACCCGAAACCGACACAGGUGGGGUGGUAGAGAAUACCGAGGGGCGCGAGGUAACUCUCUCUAAGGAACUCGGCAAAAUGGCCCCGUAACUUCGGGAGAAGGGGUGCCACCGCAAGGUGGUCGCAGUGAAGAGGCCCAGGCGACUGUUUACCAAAAACACAGGUCUCCGCUAAGUCGCAAGACGAUGUAUGGGGGCUGACGCCUGCCCAGUGCCGGAAGGUUAAGGAAGCUGGUCAGCGCAAGCGAAGCUAGCGACUGAAGCCCCGGUGAACGGCGGCCGUAACAAUAACGGUCCUAAGGUAGCGAAAUUCCUUGUCGGGUAAGUUCCGACCCGCACGAAAGGCGUAACGAUCUGGGCGCUGUCUCGGAGAGAGGCUCGGCGAAAUAGAAUUGUCUGUGAAGAUGCGGACUACGUGCACCCGGACAGAAAGACCCUAUGAAGCUUUACUGUAGCUUGGUAUUGUGCCCGGGCUCGCAAUGCGCAGGAUAGGUGGGAGGCUUUGAUCAUCGGCUUGCGGGUCGAUGUGAGCCAACGGUGAGAUACCACUCUUUGCGAGCUAGGGUUCUAACGGCCACCCGUCAUCCGGGGGCCGGACAGUACCUGGUGGGCAGUUUGACUGGGGCGGUCGCCUCCUAAAAGGUAACGGAGGCGCGCAAAGGUUUGCUCAGGCUGGUUGGAAAUCAGCCGACGAGUGUAAAAGCAGAAGCAAGCUUGACUGUGAGACCAACAAGUCGAACAGGGAGGAAACUCGGCUUUAGUGAUCCGACGGUUCUGAGUGGAAGGGCUGUCGCUCAACGGAUAAAAGUUACUCUAAGGAUAACAGGCUGAUCUCCCCCAAGAGUUCACAUCGACGGGGAGGUUUGGCACCUCGAUGUCGGCUCAUCGCAACCUGGGGCUGGAGUCGGUCCCAAGGGUUGGGCUGUUCGCCCAUUAAAGCGGUACGCGAGCUGGGUUCAGAACGUCGUGAGACAGUUCGGUCCAUAUCCGGUGCACGCGCAGGAAUAUUGAGAGGAUUUCUCCCUAGUACGAGAGGACCGGGAGGAACGCACCUCUGGUGUACCAGUUAUCGUGCCAACGGUAAACGCUGGGUAGCCAUGUGCGGAGUGGAUAACCGCUGAAAGCAUCUAAGUGGGAAGCCCACCUCAAGAUGAGUAUUCCCAUGGCGUAAGCCAGUAAGGUCACGGGAAGAACACCCGUUGAUAGGCUCUAUGUGGAAGCGCAGUAAUGCGUGAAGCAGAGGAGUACUAAUAGACCGAGGGCUU
rnacentral:rRNA from 1 species